rnacentral:ncRNA from 1 species
UACAUUUGCCGCUGUACAUAAAAAUCAUUAAAACAAUAUUGGAAUG